CUGGAUGUGUAACUUAAUGGUAGAGUGCUUGCCUAGAAUGUGCAAGACCCUGAGUUAGAAUCCCAGCACUGAGG
rnacentral:tRNA from 1 species